rnacentral:rRNA from 1 species
GACGAACGCUGGCGGCGUGCUUAACACAUGCAAGUCGAACGGAAAGGCCCUGCUUUUGUGGCGUGCUCGAGUGGCGAACGGGUGAGUAACACGUGAGUAACCUGCCCUUGACUUUGGGAUAACUUCAGGAAACUGGGGCUAAUACCGGAUAGGAGCUCCUGCUGCAUGGUGGGGGUUGGAAAGUUUCGGCGGUUGGGGAUGGACUCGCGGCUUAUCAGCUUGUUGGUGGGGUAGUGGCUUACCAAGGCUUUGACGGGUAGCCGGCCUGAGAGGGUGACCGGGCACAUGGGGACUGAGGUACGGAGCAGAAGCGUACGGGAGGCAGCAGUGGGGAAUAUGGCACAAUGGGCGGAAGCCUGAUGCAGCAACGCCGCGUGCGGGAUGACGGCCUUCGGGUGGUAAACCGCUUUGGCCUGUGACGAAGCGUGAGUGACGGUAAUGGGUAAAGAAGCACCGGCUAACUACGUG